rnacentral:rRNA from 1 species
CCUACGGGAGGCAGCAGUGGGGAAUAUUGCACAAUGGGGGAAACCCUGAUGCAGCAACGCCGCGUGAGUGAAGAAGUAUUUCGGUAUGUAAAGCUCUAUCAGCAGGGAAGAAGAGAGACGGUACCUGACUAAGAAGCCCCGGCUAACUACGUGCCAGCAGCCGCGGUAAUACGUAGGGGGCAAGCGUUAUCCGGAUUUACUGGGUGUAAAGGGAGCGUAGACGGCUUGAUAAGUCUGAAGUGAAAGGCCAAGGCUUAACCAUGGAACUGCUUUGGAAACUAUGAGGCUAGAGUGCUGGAGAGGUAAGCGGAAUUCCUAGUGUAGCGGUGAAAUGCGUAGAUAUUAGGAGGAACACCAGUGGCGAAGGCGGCUUACUGGACAGAAACUGACGUUGAGGCUCGAAAGCGUGGGGAGCAAACAGGAUUAGAUACC